rnacentral:lncRNA from 1 species
UGACAGACUGUUCAGUCUUUAAUAAUGUGAGAAUAAACAGAAUAAAUUAAAAGCACACCAUAUUCUUCUCAGCUUCCUCAGGGGCUUUGUCCAAACAGCUUGAACAACUGCAAAAUAAUAUUCAGGAACCAUGAUAGUGUUUGGUACAUAGAGGACACUGGAAAUGGUUUUCUUAACUGAACAAGUGACUAGAAUAAAGGAAUUAAUGAACGACAUCAGAGCUGAAAUCCCAAACCAUAAAUCAUAAAAGGAUCAGACAGCAAAGAGUACUCAAAAGCUGAUUUAUUGAGAUCCUGAUGAGUUUGAAGUAACUAGAAACUUGAUCAAACAGUGACAAGACCCAAGAUUUGUUUUACUCUAAAGUGAGAAAUU